AUCUCGAGGCUCAACCUCGAAACUGCUUGCCGAACUAUCAGACUAGAGCAUGGGAGAGGACAGUGGAAUUCCCGGUGUANCGGUGGAAUGCGUAAAUAUCGGGAGGAACACCAGUGGCGAAGGCUGCUGUCUGGAACAUUGCUGACGCUGAGGUGCGAAAGCCAGGGGAGCGAACGGGAUUAGAUACCCCGGUAGUCCUGGCUGUAAACGAUGCUCACUAGGUGUUACCGGCAUUAACCCCGGUAGUGCUGUUCUGCUAACGCGUUAAGUGAGCCGCCUGGGGAGUACGGCCGCAAGGCUGAAACUCAAAGGAAUUGACGGGGGCCCGCACAAGCGGUGGAGCAUGUGGGUCAAUUGGAUGCUACGCCAAGAACCUUACCAGGGCUUGACAUGUUGGGGCCCGCGUGAGAGAUCACGUUUUCUCCGCAAGGAGACCCCAUCACAGGUGGUGCAUGGCUGUCGUCAGCUCGUGUCGUGAGAUGUUGGGUUAAGUCCCGCAACGAGCGCAACCCUCACCGGAUGUUGCCAUCGGUUCGGCCGGGAACUCUUCCGGAACUGCCUGAGUAAUCAGGAGGAAGGCGAGGAUGACGUCAAGUCCGCAUGCCCCUUAUGUCCUGGGCUGCACACGUGCUACAAUGGCUGGUACAAAGGGUAGCCAAACCGCGAGGUGGAGCUAACCCCCUAAAACCAGUCCCAGUUCGGAUUGGAUGUCUGCAACUCGACUCCAUGAAGCUGGAAUCGCUAGUAAUCGUGGAUCAGCAAUGCCACGGUGAUACGUUCUCGGGCAUUGACACACCGCCCGUCAAGUCACGAAAGCUGGCAGCACCCGAAGUCCGUCGC
rnacentral:rRNA from 1 species